rnacentral:rRNA from 1 species
CCCUUAGAUGUUCUGGGCUGCACGCGCGCUACACUGAUGCACUCAUCGAGUUUAUGACCUUGUCCGAUAGGAUUGGGUAAUCUUCUUAAAAUGCAUCGUGAUGGGGAUAGAUUAUUGCAAUUAUUAAUCUUCAACGAGGAAUUCCUAGUAAGCGCGAGUCAUCAGCUCGUGCUGAUUACGUCCCUGCCCUUUGUACACACCGCCCGUCGCUACUACCGAUUGAGUGAUCCGGUGAAUAAUUCGGACUGCAGCAAUGUUUGGAUCCCGAACGUUGCAGUGGAAAGUUUAGUGAACCUUAUCACUUAGAGGAAGGAGAAGUCGUAACA